GGGGGUGUCUCACCGAUAACGUGGGAGAGCGCUUGAAUGGCAUUCAAGCGGUCAGCGGUUCGAUCCCGCUUAUCUCCACCA
rnacentral:tRNA from 1 species